UACGGAGGGAGCUAGCGUUGUUCGGAAUUACGGGGCGUAAAGCGCACGUAGGCGGCUUUACAAGUCAGAGGUGAAAGCCUGGAGCUCAACUCCAGAAUUGCCUUUGAGACUGUAUCGCUUGAACACGGGAGAGGUGAGUGGAAUUCCGAGUGUAGAGGUGAAAUUCGUAGAUAUUCGGAAGAACACCAGUGGCGAAGGCGGCUCACUGGACCGUUGUUGACGCUGAGGUGCGAAAGCGUGGGGAGCAAACAGG
rnacentral:rRNA from 1 species